CACAGGUGCUGCAUGGCUGUCGUCAGCUCGUGUCGUGAGAUGUGGGUUAAGUCCCGCAACGAGCGCAACCCUUAUCAUUAGUUGCUACGCAAGGGCACUCUAAUGAGACUGCCGGUGACAAACCGGAGGAAGGUGGGGGAUGACGUCAAGUCCUCAUGGCCCUUAUGGGUAGGGCUUCACACGUCAUACAAUGGUCGGUACAGAGGGUUGCCAAGCCGCGAGGCGGAGCCAAUCCCACAAAGCCGAUCGUAGUCCGGAUUGUUCUCUGCAACUCGAGAGCAUGAAGUCGGAAUCGCUAGUAAUCGCAGGUCAGCAUACUGCGGUGAAUACGUUCCCGGGUCUU
rnacentral:rRNA from 1 species